CCUACGGGGGGCUGCAGUGGGGAAUAUUGCACAAUGGGGGAAACCCUGAUGCAGCGACGCCGCGUGGGUGAAGGAGUACUUCGGUACGUAAAGCCCUAUCAGCAGGGAAGAAAAUGACGGUACCUGACUAAGAAGCCCCGGCUAACUACGUGCCAGCAGCCGCGGUAAUACGUAGGGGGCGAGCAUUAUCCGGCUUUACUGGGUGUAAAGGGAGCGUAGACGGCAGUGCAAGUCCGGAGUGACAGCCCGGGGCUCAACCCUGGGACCGCUCUGGAAACUGUAAGGCUGGAGUGCGGGAGGGGCAGGCGGAAUUCCUGGUGUAGCGGUGAAAUGCGUAGAUAUCAGGAGGAACACCGGUGGCGAAGGCGGCCUGCUGGACCGUAACUGACGUUGAGGCGCGAAAGCGUGGGGAGCAAACAGGAUUAGAUACCCGGGUAGUC
rnacentral:rRNA from 1 species